rnacentral:rRNA from 1 species
UCAAGCUAAAAAGAGCGCAAGGGGAAUGCCUUGGCAUCAGGAGCCGAAGAAGGACGUGACAAGCUGCGAUAAGCUGCGGUGAGGAGCAAAUAUCCUUUGACCCGCAGAUCUCCGAAUGGGGCAACCCGGCUGGACAAUAUCCAGUCAUCCUGCAUUGAAUCAAAUAGGUGUAGGAAGGGAACCGUCUGAACUGAAACAUCUAAGUAGGACGAGGAAGAGACAUCAACCGAGAUUCCGCAAGUAGUGGCGAGCGAACGCGGAAGAGGCCAAACCGGAGGAAUAAUUCUCCGGGGUUGCGGACAGUCAUUUAGCAGAAGAUAUCUAACCGAAGGGUCUGGGAAGGCCCACCACAGAGGGUGAGAGUCCCGUAGGUGAAAGAGAAGGCUGUGAGACUGGAUCCAGAGUACCGCAGGACACGUGAAACCCUGCGGGAAACAGGGGGGACCACCCUCCAAGCCUAAAUACUACCUGAUGACCGAUAGAGGAGCAGUACCGUGAGGGAAAGGUGAAAAGGACCCCGGGAGGGGAGUGAAAGAGAACCUGAAACCUUGUGCUUACAAGCACUCAAAGCACGUUAAAGUGUGAUGAGGUACUUUUUGUAGAACGGUCCGGCGAGUUAUAGUAACGAGCAAGCUUAAGGUAUUCAGUACCGGAGGCGAAGCGAGAGCGAGUCUGAAUAGGGCGUAAAAAGUUCGUUGCCAUAGACCCGAAACCGGGUGACCUAACCAUGAGCAGGCUGAAGUGAGAGUAAAAUCUCAUGGAGGGCCGAACGCACGUUCGUUGCAAUGACCGGCGAUGACUUGUGGUUAGCGGAGAAAUUCCAAUCGAACUCGGAGAUAGCUGGUUCUCCCCGAAAUAGCUUUAGGGCUAGCGUUAUCUUAGAUUACCGGAGGUAAAGCACUGAAUGGGCUAGGGGGCGAUAAGCUUACUGAACCCUAUCAAACUCAGAAUGCCGGCUAAUUGAUGGAUAGCAGUCAGACAGUGUGAGAUAAGUUUCAUUGUCAAAAGGGAAACAGCCCAGACCCACAGCUAAGGUCCCUAAUGCAUGCUAAGUGGAAAACGAUGUGGAAUUGCGAAAACAACCAGGAUGUUGGCUUAGAAGCAGCCACUCAUUAAAAGAGUGCGUAAUAGCUCACUGGUCGAGUGACUUUGCGCGGAAAAUAUAACGGGGCUAAAAUAAGUACCGAAGUCGUAGAUUUACACAAUAGUGUAAGUGGUAGAAGAGCGUUGUAUUUAGCGUUGAAGGCGUACCGGUAAGGAGCGCUGGAGCAUAUACAAGUGAGCAUGCAGGCAUGAGUAGCGAUAAUUAAUGUAAGAAUCAUUAACGCCGAAAACCCAAGGUUUCCUACGCGAUGCUCGUCAUCGUAGGGUUAGUCGGGUCCUAAGCAAAGUCCGAAAGGGGUAUGCGAUGGAAAAUCGGUUAAUAUUCCGAUACCAACAUUAUUGUGCGAUGGAAGGACGCUUAAAGUUAAUGGGGCUAAGUGAUGGAAUACUUAGUCUAAGGAUGUAGGUUAAGUUGUAGGCAAAUCCGCAACUUUUUAUCCGAGAUCUAAAAGGCUUACAAAACUCUUCGGAGUAGCGUAAGAACCCAUGAUACUAUCGAGCCGAGAAAAGUUUCUAAGUUUAGAUAAUGUUGCCCGUACCGUAAACCGACACAGGUGGGUGGGAUGAGUAUUCUAAGGCGCGUGGAAGAACUCUCUUUAAGGAACUCUGCAAAAUAGCACCGUAUCUUCGGUAUAAGGUGUGCCUAACUUUGUGAAAGAUUUACUCUAUAAGCAAAGAAGGUUACAACAAAGAGUCCCUCCCGACUGUUUACCAUAAACACAGCACUCUGCUAACACGUAAGUGGAUGUAUAGGGUGUGACGCCUGCCCGGUGCUCGAAGGUUAAUUGAUGAUGUCAGGAGUAAUCCAAAGCAUUUGAUCGAAGCCCGAGUAAACGGCGGCCGUAACUAUAACGGUCCUAAGGUAGCGAAAUUCCUUGUCGGUUAAGUUCCGACCUGCACGAAUGGUGUAAUGAUCUGGACGCUGUCUCAACCGUGAGCUCAGUGAAAUUGUAGUAUCGG